GUCGUCGACGACGACGACCUCAACAGCUACAUCAUCGCUGGCCUCGACGAGGAUUAUGAACCCGUCAUCCAGUCCAUCAUUGGGCGUCCAGAUCAAGUCACUUUUGGGGAGGCUUUUGCUCAACUCCUGAGUUUUGAGC
rnacentral:snoRNA from 1 species